UUCACUUUCAGUGGUUCUCAACUGGAUGUGAUUUUGACACACACCCUGACCACCAUCAGGCACAUUUGGCAAGGUCUGCAGACGUUUUUGUUGUAACAACUAUGGGGCCACUACUGGCAUCUAAGGUUUCUCAUUGGUCAGUACAAUGAAGGUUGAUGGCAUGAUUGUUCACUUCGAAUCAAAGGAUAUUUAUUGGUAUGCUGUUAUCAAUCAGAAAUUUCCAAAUACAAGUUCUCCAGUUCAAAGAAAAGUAGCUGGAUCCAGGCAAAAAUGCAUCUGGGGACUCUCUAAGUGUGCAUGAUGCAUCUCUGGAGAAACUUUCUUCAGCAUUCUUUUUGUUUUUGUUUUUAUUUUUGAAACACUUCCCUUACAAUAUACUCUAGCUACCAGAUAGGUUCCUAAGUCUGCCCGAAUCUCUCCUAUAUCUGAAUUCUUGGUGUUCUUCCCACCCUCUGAUUCCACAGAUGAAGAAGAAAAAAUAAUAAAGGAAUAAAAAUCA